UCUUAAUUUCUUGUCAUGUUCCUGUUGCGUUGCCCAAAAUUGCUCAUUUAAUUUAUUCAUUUUCUUUGGUCGAUAGUCUCUUGAUCUAUCGCUUUGUCAUUUCCUUCCUCAAUCCUCCUCUGUUAAUUGCUACCAACCUUUCCACUUUCCCCUGAACAGAUCGUGCAUUCUCCGGCGACGAUUCCAGAAGCUUCAUGAAUCUUCGCACCUCAACUGUGCUCUCCCUCUUCACGGGGCGAAGACAACAACAAAAGCACAACCCUCAAGAUGCCUGAACUCCGAAGCAGAAAGCGCCCAAACCCAAACCCAAGCCCAAGCCCAAACCCAAACCCAAACCCGACUCCGAUAACCCAACCCGUAAGAACAAUCCGCCAGAGGAGAACCCGAAGAACCACCGUAAGAAAUAAUCGUAACGCGAUCGCAGGUGAUCAAAUCAAUAACAACCGCCAAAUACAUCAGCAACGACAAGAACAGGACGCACUUCCGCUUAGGGUCCUCAAAGAGGAAAAUAAAGCGAUGGAUAACGAACACGACAGCGGUGGCCGGAGCGCUGACAAAGCUCCGGCUGCCGAAGACGAAGGAAGCACCACUCCCCUUCCCGAGAGGGUGCAGGUAGGUGGUUCACCGUUAUACAGAAUAGAGAGAAAACUUGGCAAGGGAGGGUUUGGACAAGUCUAUGUUGGUCGGCGAGUCGGAGCCGGUGCCGGAGCGGUAGAGGUAGCUUUGAAGUUUGAACAUAGAAGCAGUAAGGGGUGUAAUUAUGGGCCUCCUUAUGAGUGGCAGGUUUACAAUUCAUUAGGUGGUAGUCAUGGUGUUCCACGAGUUCAUUACAAGGGACGGCAAGGUGAUUACUAUGUUAUGGUUAUGGAUAUACUUGGCCCUAGUCUAUGGGAUGUUUGGAAUAACAACACAAACACGAUGUCUGCAGAAAUGGUGGCAUGUAUAGCAAUUGAGGCUAUCUCCAUUUUAGAGAAGAUGCACUCUAGAGGAUAUGUACACGGUGAUGUCAAACCUGAGAACUUUUUGCUUGGCCCCCCAGGAACUUCUGAUGAGAAAAAGCUUUUUCUGGUUGAUCUUGGAUUAGCAACCCGAUGGCGGGAUAGUUCAACUGGCCUUCAUGUUGAGUAUGAUCAACGUCCAGAUGUAUUUAGGGGAACAGUUCGUUAUGCUAGUGUGCAUGCUCAUCUUGGUAGAACAGGUAGUAGGAGAGAUGAUUUGGAGUCUCUUGCUUACACUCUAAUCUUCCUUCUUCGUGGUCGACUACCUUGGCAAGGAUACCAGGGAGAAAAUAAAGGAUUUCUUGUCUGCAAGAAAAAGAUGGGCACUUCACCAGAAGCUUUGUGUUGCUUUUGUCCUCCACCUUUUCGGCAGUUUGUUGAAUAUGUGGUAAAUUUGAAGUUUGAUGAAGAACCAAAUUACGCAAAGUACAUAUCACUGUUUGAUGGAAUUGUUGGUCCAAAUCCAGACAUCAGACCCCUAAACACUGAUGGUGCACAGAAGCUUAUAUAUAUGGUUGGACAUAAGAGAGGACGUUUGACUGUGGAAGAAGAUGAUGAUGAACAACCGAAGAAGAAGGUCAGAAUGGGAAUGCCAGCAACACAAUGGAUUAGUGUAUAUAAUGCUCACCGACCAAUGAAGCAAAGGUACCAUUACAAUGUUGCUGACAUGCGGCUGUCCCAACACAUUGAGAAGGGAUAUGAGGAUGGGUUAUUUAUCAGCAGUGUAGCUUGCUGUUCUAACCUUUGGGCACUUAUUAUGGAUGCUGGCACUGGUUUUGCUGCACAAGUUUAUGAGCUCUCACCUCACUUUCUUCACAAGGAAUGGAUUAUGGAACAGUGGGAAAAGAAUUAUUACAUUAGUGCCAUAGCAGGAGCUAAUAAUGGGAGCUCAUUGGUUGUGAUGUCUAAAGGGACCCAAUACUUGCAACAAUCCUAUAAAGUCAGUGAGUCAUUUCCAUUCAAGUGGAUCAAUAAAAAAUGGAGAGAAGGAUUUUACGUCACUGCUAUGGCCACUGCCGGAAGUAGAUGGGCAAUUGUUAUGUCCCGUGGUGCUGGAUUUUCAGACCAGGUUGUGGAACUUGAUUUCCUGUAUCCUAGUGAAGGCAUUCAUCGAAGGUGGGACAAUGGUUACCGCAUCACUUCAACUGCUGCUACAUGGGACCAAGCUGCUUUUGUUCUUAGUGUUCCGAGAAGAAAACCAGCUGAUGAAACUCAAGAGACACUCCGCACUUCUGCCUUUCCUGGUACUCAUGUCAAGGAAAAAUGGGCAAAGAACCUCUAUAUUGCAUCUAUAUGCUAUGGGCGAACAGUUUCAUGAACUCUGAAGCUUUUUGAGAUUUUGGCUGCACAUCAUUUUGACUUCUUGCAUCAAAAUGCCUGCUCUUACAUCUACUCCUUUGGAAACUGGAAAUCCUCUGACAAAUUCUCUGAACAAAGCCAUUCAGCAUUGAUGUAUGCUAAACCUUUUUUUAUGGACACCAUCACUUAUCAUAUGAUACAAUACCUGUGCACUGUAUUUCAACUGUAUCAAAAUGCUUAUGAGCAACUUUUGAUCUUUUUGGUCCAUUGGGAUAAUAAGCCUUUUGGUAGAAAGAUUGUAGAGAUUGAAGAAUAAUACUGCGUUGAAAAUUGAAAGCAUGUGACAGCUACUUCUUGCCUCUUGGAUGUCUGAAUUUGACCUUUACUUUAAAGAAGGAAAACAGUUGUAAACUCUGGAUGCAAUCAUCUUGUGUAUGGGUCAAUUUUUACAGCAUAUGAUUGUUUUAAAGAGGAGCCAUGUGAGCUUUUGCUCACUUUCUAGAAGUUGCAAAGGAUAGCCUUCUAUUUCUUGCUUAUCUGAAUUUGUUGGCUAUCGUGGAAGGGAAGCUUGGCUGUUGUGAUAAUUAACACUUCUGUUGUGCUUGACCAUCAUUGAGUUGUAUAUCACCUGAAAAUCUUCUUGAGCAUCUGAAGCAGAUAUGCCUAUAUAUCGAUGGUAUGUUUGAUGAUGUUCAUUUGGCCUGAUGGCACAAAGCUUCAGUUCCUGACAUUUGGUGAUUUAUACUUGUUGGUUCAUACUAUGAUUAUGAUUCUGGAGCCAUCCAUGUGUCAGUGGUGAAGCUGUGCAAGGAACUGGAACUUUUGAAACUAUCUAGUGUAUGCGAUUCUUUCCUUUGCCAAAUAUAUGAACUUGGUGGGAGAGUGGGGAGGGGUUGUAAUUAAAUCUGAAGCAAACAUCAAUUAGUGAUAUUUUAAUAUAUCACCAACUUACCGUAUUUUGAAUAUCUAAUCUAUAUCAGCUAGUUUUAACUUUUAAUUGCGAUUGAGGUCCAAUACAUUUGCCUCUAUUAGGUGUUAUGUCAGUACGUGUAAUCCUUGAAUGUUGGAUGUGGUUCCAGUGUUUCAAUAUUUCAUUUGUGCUUUUCAUAACGUAGAUAAAAUAUAUAUUUCUGGUUCUCUGAAAAACUUAGCAUUUCAAAGGCACUACAAGACUAAAUGUUAUUUCUGGAAGGCAACUUGGCAGCAAGACA